CUUUUGUAGGGCCUGACCUGUUACCAGCUGCUUCAUGCACUAGUUACGCAAAAGAACAUAUGCAUCCACCUUGUAACGCUGGAAUCCUGGAGCAAGCUGGCCAUUGCUUUUGCUAAUGAGAAAACGCUGUUUAUGUUGAAUGCAUCUCACGAGAAAUCCUUGGCUCAAACACUUGUUCUUUCUGUAUCUGGCUUUAGAGAUUCUGAGCCAG